rnacentral:ncRNA from 1 species
UCGCUAGGGGUGCCCAUAGAUACUUGGGCUGAGAGAAAGCUGUGAAAGCUUUUAACCCUUGAACCUGAUCUGGAUCAUACCAGCGUAGGAAAGU